UCUCCCCUCUUUACAGUAUCUCUCAGCUCUCUCCUUUGUUUACAGUACGUCUCUGCUCGCUCUUCCCUGCAGGUUGUUUGAGUUCCGCGGACGCGUCUCCCCCCCCGUCCCCCGCGCCCCCCCGGCCAAGCGGGCUCGGCUCGCGGUCCCGCUGGUGCGACGGGUCAAGUCCCUUCCUGUCAAGCUGCUGUCGCGCAACACCUCGGCGCUCCCCCCCAGCAACAACAAACAUAGAUCACUGCGGGGCUUGGAGCUGCAGGCGAUCAAGUCUGAGUUGACUCAGAUCAAAACCAACAUCGAAGCUCUGCUGUGUAGACUGGAGCUCAUCUCGGACGACACACACAUCACCCCUACAGAGUUGCGGAAGGAGAAGGAGGAGGAGGAGGAGGAGGAGGAGGAGGAGGAGUGUAAGAGUGAGGAGGUGUCUGUAGAUGAGGAAGACUGGUGCUCUGAAGGUCAGGAGGAGGAGGAGAGACGAAGAAGCCACGCAGGAGAAGAGCAGUCACAUGACCGCCUAGAGCACAAUACGGAAAACCGAGGACUAUCAUCAGAAGUGAAAUCGAUCCUACUGUGAAAGGUAAUCGCUAACGAGCUAAUUAACGCCCUCUCCCUCUCCCAUCAACCCACUGCCUCCCCAGCCAUCAGCUGAACGUGCGUUCCUGUUUUAACCAGGACCAGAACGCACGUACUCAGCCCCUCGCUGACCCCCGGCUCCCAGGUGUGUUUGUGUUGAAGAACUCACCAGAACCCAUUGUUCUCUAGCGGUUCCAAAGACAUAAACACGAUCUACGCACACGGAAACAUCAGCAAGACAGACUGGACAUUCGCUGGAGGCAGAUUUAUCUGCUCGAUGCUUUCUCUUUAUCGACUCAUAAAUCCCCCCCAAACAAUUGUCAAUGUCAAUAACAUUUAUAAAACAUUGCGAUGGACCAAAUCGAACAAUCCGGGAACUUGGAACGUGUAAAGUGUUGCCUCACUAGUCACCGGCACUGAUGAGCAGGUCAUCAGCUGUCAAUGCUACAAAUAAAAAUAAACACCCGCAUUUUUUCUCCUGUU